rnacentral:lncRNA from 1 species
AUGAAUGGGAAGACAAUGUCUUGUUCUUUUACUGAAGCUGAUGCUCUCUCAGGCUUAGAUGAUGCCGGCGAGUAUUGUGAGAAUGCUGGAUUGGCCUUUUUUGAAGUUGCUUCAACGAUAACUUCACGCUUAAAUGGCUUGUUGAAUAUUGCACCUGCUAUCCGGUCAAACACGGACAACUCCCAAGAACAAGUUCUUGAGACGAGAUUGAAGCACGGUAUGGAUUUGCGUGCUGUUGAAAUUGCGGUGAAAGCUACUCAAGAUCUUGACGUCUUCGACGUUUCUGCUCCGAUCGAACUAUGCCACAUGAUCAUAAGGGUUCCCCGCCGGAAUUUCAUACCUCAAUACGUUGCAGUAUUUUAUUGCUUCUCACCGGCACUCUGGGUAUUCGUUAUCGUAACAUUCGUAGUUUUUACCAUGGUCCACAUCGUAUGCGUUAAAAUAGAAGGAGGAGGCUUCCCUAUCCUAUACCCUGAGCGAGAACUACCAGAUCACGAAUAUCUAUCCACGGCACUGGCUAUAGUAAGAUAUACUCUGGGGAUAAGCCAGCCCCAGAUAUUCCUGGUGGAAUUCAUCACAGGAAAAAUAGUCUUUCUUAUUUUUGUGUUCUCGACACUAGUUUUGUCGACCCUCUUCCAGAGCGGGAUGGUGACCAUGCUGAGUAUGAGGAUUCGUUACGAUGACAUCGACACUCUGAAAGAAGUCGCAGAAUCCGAUUUGGCCAUAGAAUCCACCAGUAUAGACUUAGAUAUGAGCUUCCUCGGCGAAAAUGCGCAGUUUGAUUGGCUCCGACAAAAAAUGACCGUUGGCUUGCGGUUCAGGUGUGAGAACAGAUACUGCGGUAUGGAAUCGGAUUUCGCGCUUUUCGACUCGAACGAGUCUGACCUCAAAACGAACGACAUCGGUAGGUAUGAUAGAGAGGUUCUCACGAUAUUGGAGUCUCGCGCUAUUUUAACGAGAUCCAUGUCCAUAUUUUCCAGAUUUAACAAUCGGAUAUUCUAUGAUCGAAGGACUGGAGAUCUCUUCGAGUUCCAUGACGUGUCCGAGAAAGUCUUGAGCUAUCCGCUCAUGUUUUUUAUCUCGAGGAGGUCGUUCUACCGGGAGGUUUUCAAUGAUGCUCUGGCCCGUUUUGUCGAGGGUGGGAUUUUUUGUAAACGUAUGGCGAUACAUCAUACCGAGUUUAAAGAAAACUUCGCAGUGGCAGAGGCAGAGGGGAGUGGGGAUGAGCCAAGGCCGUAUUCUAUGAUAGAUUUGAGGAUAGCUUUCAUCUGUCUCUGUGUAGGGUUGUUGCUGAGUAUCUGCGUAUUUGUUGCGGAACUCUUCGCCCAGCUAUCUGAUUAA